UUUCCUGAGGAUGGUCGGCAGGGCCCGGCCGAAACGUCGAUUUUGUAUAUUCACGUUUUUCAACUAUUAAAUUCUUCUUCUUCCUGACCGGAACUUCGACGAACCUUUCAUUUUCAAUCUACCUCCCGGUCACAAACUUCUUUCCUAAACACAAUGCAUCGAAACGGCUUCGUGGACGUCUCGUACCACCGUCAUCCUACGUCAUACCGAACUUCAAAUCACUCACAAACCAAGAAGAUCUGGAACUACCGGCAAAAACUAGCACGCAUCAAAAACCAUUUUAUUUCCUGAGGAUGGUCGGCAGGGCCCGGCCGAAACGUCGAUUUUGUAUAUUCACGUUUUUCAACUAUUAAAUUCUUCUUCUUCCUGACCGGAACUUCGACGAACCUUUCAUUUUCAAUCUACCUCCCGGUCACAAACUUCUUUCCUAAACACAAUGCAUCGAAACGGCUUCGUGGACGUCUCGUACCACCGUCAUCCUACGUCAUACCGAACUUCAAAUCACUCACAAACCAAGAAGAUCUGGAACUACCGGCAAAAACUAGCACGCAUCAAAAACCAUUUUAUUUCCUGAGGAUGGUCGGCAGGGCCCGGCCGAAACGUCGAUUUUG